AUUGAACGCUGGCGGCAGGCCUAACACAUGCAAGUCGAGCGGUAACAGAGAGUAGCUUGCUACUCUGCUGACGAGCGGCGGACGGGUGAGUAAUGCUUGGGAAUAUGCCUUAUGGUGGGGGACAACAGUUGGAAACGACUGUUAAUACCGCAUGAUGUCUACGGACCAAAGUGGGGGACCUUCGGGCCUCACGCCAUAAGAUUAGCCCAAGUGGGAUUAGCUAGUUGGUGAGGUAAUGGCUCACCAAGGCGACGAUCCCUAGCUGGUUUGAGAGGAUGAUCAGCCACACUGGGACUGAGACACGGCCCAGACUCCUACGGGAGGCAGCAGUGGGGAAUAUUGCACAAUGGGCGCAAGCCUGAUGCAGCCAUGCCGCGUGUGUGAAGAAGGCCUUCGGGUUGUAAAGCACUUUCAGUAAGGAGGAAAGGUUAAGUGUUAAUAGCACUUAGCUGUGACGUUACCUACAGAAGAAGCACCGGCUAACUCCGUGCCAGCAGCCGCGGUAAUACGGAGGGUGCGAGCGUUAAUCGGAAUUACUGGGCGUAAAGCGUACGCAGGCGGUUUGUUAAGCGAGAUGUGAAAGCCCCGGGCUCAACCUGGGAACUGCAUUUCGAACUGGCAAACUAGAGUGUGAUAGAGGGUGGUAGAAUUUCAGGUGUAGCGGUGAAAUGCGUAGAGAUCUGAAGGAAUACCGAUGGCGAAGGCAGCCACCUGGGUCAACACUGACGCUCAUGUACGAAAGCGUGGGGAGCAAACAGG
rnacentral:rRNA from 1 species